rnacentral:rRNA from 1 species
CUACGGGAGGCAGCAGUGAGGAAUAUUGCACAAUGGGGAGAACCCUGAUGCAGCAACGCCGCGUGGAGGAUGACGCAUUUCGGUGUGUAAACUCCUUUUAUAUGUCAAGAAAAUGACGGUAGCAUAUGAAUAAGCACCGGCUAACUCCGUGCCAGCAGCCGCGGUAAUACGGAGGGUGCAAGCGUUACUCGGAAUCACUGGGCGUAAAGGACGCGUAGGCGGGUUGGAAAGUCAGGUGUGAAAUCCUACAGCUUAACUGUAGAACUGCACUUGAAACUUCUAAUCUAGAGUAUGGGAGGGGGGGAUGGAAUUAGUGGUGUAGGGGUAAAAUCCGUAGAUAUCACUAGGAAUACCUAAAGCGAAGGCGAUCUCCUGGAACAUUACUGACGCUAAGGCGUGAAAGCGUGGGGAGCAAACAGGAUUAGAUACCCGGGUAGUC